AGUCAACACUGAGCCAUACUCUGGCCACCGUCUGCUGGUUAAAGUAAAGUCAGUCAGUGUGUGAUCUUCAGCCAGACAAAGUGAUCGAGCAUCGUGCUCACCAAGAAUACCGAGUGUUUUAUGUGAAACGUCAAAAAAACAACCGAUCUCACUGUCUUAACAAAAAAUUUUAUCAAGGAUACUACGCCAAUUUUCUCCCAAAAAGGAUUUAAUUAAAGAGAGCACGCAAAGGUGAGGCAGACUGGGGCCUGGUGAAGGUGGGUGAUUACACAGAGAAGCGAAUUGGACAAAGAGAGAAAAUCCAUAAGAGAAUAACAUAAUGGAAACGUGGUUGGUGGAUGUGAAACAAUUACGAAUUCCGCGUCCAAAAUUUGGCACAUCUUCCGGAAGUCCUCCACAUCAUCGGAAUGUCCGACAGAUGCCGCGUGAACCCCCGCGAGACUAUCAUUUGGCCACCGCUGAGGACUUUGCCACACCAUCCAGUCCCGAGAGGCAAAUGAAACAACUUCAGAGUGAUACAGAGGAAAUCCGACAGGCUUUGCAGGAGAAACUGUAGGUUGGUCAGAAGAGAGGAGCACAUCUUCCCCAGAGGACAAAGUCGAAUCACAAAAAAAAACUUCUAUAUAAUAAUCACACUGUAAACUCCCAUGUGAGUUGGUUUUGUUGAAUUUGUUUAUCCUCUCUAUGUUAAUCUUACACUUUCAAUCUAGGUAUUGAUUGUCUGUUUUUUUUUAGGAUCCAAAGUCGUAAUGUAAAAUUUCCAUAUAACAAAGAAAAAUUGUAUGUAUAGUCAUCCAAUUUUAGUCAAAUGUAUGAAACAGAAAAGAAAAUGUAAAAUAUGCAAAUUUACUUAAAGUUGUCAGAAAAAUUUGUUCAAAACAAUAGCAAAUACAAACUUUCCAGAUGUUCAAACUUAUAAGAAUACUAAUACUUUGCAAAUAUAGUUUUUACUAUAUCAGGCAGCAACAAUUUAAAAAAAAUACCUCAGAAUAUUUGAAAAUUUUAAAAAUGGAAAUUAUUGAAAUUGUUUAAAACAAAUCAAAUUCAAGUGUUAAUAAAGUUAUUCUUAAUUUUGUGUUUUCCAAAAACUAAUAUAUAUGUUUGACUAAAUUUAUAUAUCUUGCUUAUAUAAAGUAUGAAAUUCUACUUAGCGUACCUAACAUAUACUUAAGAGAUAGAUAAACCCUUAGUGGAAACGUAUAGCUUAAAUUCUUGAACCAAAAUCGAAAUAUAUAAUCUGGAAAAUGUCAGUAUUUUGGUAUUUGAAAUCAAUGAAUAUUGAAGUAAGUUCAAUAACAAAAAUACUACAGAUUUAUCUCAAAUUAUAUUGUUUUUUUUAAUAUAUUUUUUAAGAUUAAUAUAACUAAAAUUUCGAUAAUUGUGACCCUUUAUUGUUAUUCUCAAUUCCGACACAAAAAUGACAAUUUUAUUAUAAAAAAUCACAAUUUAAAGAUCUAUUAUUCUGACGCGAUGUACAACUUAUAUUGCCUUAUUUUAGAAUCAAAGUUUAAGAUUUAUCCAUACAAAAAGAUCGCGUUUAACAAAAAUAUUGAUUUUCCAAAAUAGUUUAUAGAAGUGGAACUCAUAAAAAUUAAUACGAUUAAAAAAACGAUGAAGAGAAAAAUAAGCCAGUGACCCGCAAAAAAUAUUCAAAACCAAAUACAGCAAACUAAAUUAAGAUUCUAAUGCUAUUGAUAGAUUUGAAAUUUUCUUCUCAAAUUAAUAAAAUUAAAAUAGCAAGAUAUGUAAAAUAUUUUAAAACGUUCUUGAAUUUGAUCUUUAUCUUAGUCUCAGAAUUGACGUGAAUAUUAAAAUUAUUUCUUUUGCAAUUGCACUAAGCCAUCCCAAGGCUCUCAGACCGAUUAGAAGCAUGACCCUGAUAUACAACUAAUUUUUGCGGACUAAUUCUACCUUUAUAUUAACAAAUAAAUCAAACUCCAACCAUUAAGUGAUACAAAGAUAUAAAUCACACAUUUCAAAUGCUCAUUAGCAGAUUAAUGAGAAUUGCAUUAAAAUUUUAAUGAGCAAAUAUGAUAACAUCGUAAGUCGCAACCAUUGGUUUUCAAUGGAAAGAGUAAACUUUGUGAAUUUAAAGCAAAAUUACAUUAGCCGUUAAAUCGUUACUGUCAUCGCUAUAACCUCAGAAUUGUUCUCAAAUUAACGCAUUUUUAUUACAACUCAAAGACAUAUGAGCAAUUAUCAAGCUUGUUCGUUACAUUUAUUAUGAUAUUAGAUGCAAAUGAUAGUGAGUAAUAGGGCACUUUUUAAUUGGGACUGCUUUAAAAUUUGGAUUUUUCUCCUACUUUUAAAUAAAACUGAAUGUUUCCGUGAUAGUAUUUAGAUCCAUAAACCGCACGCCCAUGGCAAGUUGACUGAAAUUUGAAGCCACUUUCUCAUACUUCGUUUUAAAUUUAAAUGGGAUUUUUUUUAGCACUCGUGACCGUUACACUAAAUAACAAAAAAGUGAGAAGUUUUUCCGUAUUAUAAGAUACUUUUCCGUAUGGAGGGAUAAAUAUGCUAAAUUUUUGUUUAAAUAAAUUUUUUCCUCGGAGCACUGUGAGCUGAGUUCAAGAUCAAUUUAGAAAUUGGCUUCAAAUAGCUCCAUAUAAAAAAAAUAACUUGCCACAUGCUUGCAUAAACUAAUUGUGAAGCUAUAUUACAUUAUGACAAGCCUCAAUUCCUUUUAAAAAUAGGAGUAAAAGUCUAAUUUCGAAACUACUCCAAUUCAAAGGUACCCCACUUCCCCCUAUAAGAAAAUAGGAGAAAUAAGUUUAUCAUUAGAUUUUUUGUCUAUUCUAUUUUUAUUGCAUUUUGUAAAAACCGCUAAAUGGCUAAAUGAAUUAACAAUGAAUAUCCCAAAAAUUUCAAGAUAAGGAAAGGAUGAAUAUUAAUUGAACUAUUUACACUGCAAACAAACCGGUUCAAUUUGGUGAAAUUAGAUUUGCUGCUAAAUAAUUUCGGUUGCUGACUAAUUGAUUUAAAGCGCUGGAAUUUUUGUAACUGUCAGUCAUUUCGUGAGCCAACUCUGAGGUGAUUAUUUUCCGCUUGAAUAGACCUUCCAUAGACUUUUUUAAGCUUUUGGCUAAAUAGAUUUUGUACUUAUCACUAAAUCAAUUAACUUUUUCCUUUUGAAAUUCGUCUUAACAGACGCUGUCUGUAUAUUCUAUCUUUCACAUUAUGUCAAAUCGGAAUUCAGCCUUUGGGUUGCCAUAUGAUAUCAUCAGGCUUUGGCGGUGUUUUUCGAUAGAAAUAUUUUCUAUGUGAUUUCUAACAGUAAUUUGGAUUCUAAUAGCGCUGGCACACCUUUUCAAUUGAGUGAAAUUCAAUCGAUUGAAAUUUUACCUUUUACUCUUUCAAAGUAAAAUCAGAUAUAGGUGUCUCUUUCUGUCAAAAGAAAUUUAAAAUUGAAAUUGAAAUUGAAAUUUCAAUUUUUAUUUGAGAGAAAGAGACACAUAUAUCUUAUUUAGCUUUGAAAGAGUAAGAGGUAAAAUUUCAAUCGGUUGAAAUUCACCCAAUUGAAAAGGUGUGCCAGCGCCAUAAGUUUAGAUUUUGAUUUAAAAUAAAACUAAAUGUUCAUACUCGGUACCAAACGUCAAAAAGACAACCAUUAAGGGGGUUUCCCGAUUUUGAAACCCAAGACUUAGCUGUUUUUCGCGAUUUUUUUGAGGAGAAAGAAAUGACCAAGGUUUAUGAAAUUUUGGGUAUAUAGGGUAACGCGUAGUAUUUCGGGACACUUUUUAGCACAUUCAAAUUUCAAACAGCCUAAUGACUUCUCAAAUUAUUUUUCUCUUUGUUAAUACAAGUAUUUAUGUUCCUUAUUCUGUCCAGAAUAAGAUUCUUACUGAAAAAUGUUGAAAAAUGUAUCAUUUUUUAUUCAAAAUAGCAAAAAAUGUAAAGAAGUAAGAAUGGUAUAUUUCUGGGCAAUAGGGUAUUUCGGAACAGACAAAAGUAGCUAUUAUGGAAAUAAAUUUCACUGAACCUGAUUAUUUAUCUUUGAGUAGAAGGUCCAAACUUCUCUCUUUUAUAAAAAUUUUAUUUAAAUUUCACUUGUAAAGUGGGUUAAAUCGACAAAAACUCUGCACUGUUUGUGUUGUCAUCUGCAAAAUUGACGCACUAAAGAUUUCACAAAAUGUGGAAUGUGACACUCACAAUUCACGCGUAUUAUACGCUUUAAAAUAGAUAAAAUUUUAGAAGUUUUAUGUUUAACUAAUACGUAAAGAGUUUAAAAUUUCAUAUAGAACUUAAAAAUAAUAAGAAAACAAUUAUUUAUAGGAUUUUUGAUGUGUCCAGAAAUGCCCAUAUUAUGUCCCGAAAAGCACCUUGUCCAGAAACACCACACGUUACCCUAUUUAUACAUAUUAAAAGUGUCUAAAUAAUUUUUUUCAAAAAUAUAUUACAAAAUGAUGGAAUAAUGAGUAAUUUACUGGAACGCUUUGUCAGAAUUUCGUCACAGUACACCCUAAUUGGCGGAAAGUCUGCAGUUUAUAAAUUUUGUUUAAAAAAUUAAUUUUCAAAAUUCAUAAGUCUUUUUCAUAGUUAAACCAAAAGAAAACUGAAUGAAAUCAUGAAAUUGUACCUUUUUCGCAGGUUUAAAAAAAAAGGUUUUUCGGAUAAAAUUUUGACUUUAACAUGCUGUAAAAAAUAGAAAAAAGGUAUUUUCUGAAAUCAAUUAGGUUCAACUAAAAGAGUAUUUAAUUCUGAAGAUAAUAAGCCCUUAUGGAUUAUGCAUUUCAAUCGGUCCAAGUUUUUUUUUGCUAUCUUUCCCGCCAAUUCAACAAAAUCUUAAAAAUGAAAAGUGGGCAAAACGAACUUCAAAGUUUUGUGUGUUCGUUCAGGCGUUUGCAAAACUGCUACGUGCUCGUUUGCUUUCGGCUCUCUAUCUUCGAAAAUACUUGGAAUAGAGUUCUUAAAUUUUGGUGGUGUAUUCUUAGAUAGUUUAUCUAUCGAUUUAAGCAAUAAAAAAUAUCAAUUUCCUUUGACCUUGUAAUUCGGGAAAACCCCUUAAUAUUGGAUCAACCAAAAUUAGUGUCAAAAAUUAAAGAUUUAAAUUUAUUUUAAAGAUAAAAAGAUUCAAAUAAAGAUUUUUGUAGUAUUAUUUCUAUAAAAUGGAUAUUUUUAUGUUAAUAUUUAGUUUGAAAUUUCAUUAACGCGCUAUUAUUUUGACCCCCUACUAGAUUUAGAUUGGAGAUUUAGCCCAAUUUUCAGAAGUCUCGAAACCCUAAGUAACAAUUUCAGUGAUUUUUUUAAAUUAAACAUAGCAAUUGAUCCUAAUUACAAUCUUCAUUUUUCCGAAACAUUUUUUCCCGAGAACCUCGAUUAAAAAGAAACAAGAGAAGUUAAACGGUUAGGCUAUACCUUAAUGUUUGAAGCUCAUAUAAGGGUUUAACUUGAUCCAACUACAUUUCUAGAUUGAGAGUGUACUUUUUCCUAAGCCCAAUCUUUCCUGUAUUUUUUUAAUGUUAGACGUAAGGGAAUCUUUAAUACGACAAAGAACAUGAACGAAAGAAUAUCUCAGAUACUAAUUAAUUCAUCAUUGAAAAGAUCGUACAAGUUUUAAAUAUAUUUAUAAAUAUGUAAAAUAAUAUAAAAUAAAAUGAAGAAGAACAUAGAGUUCUUGUAUAUCUCUAUCUUA